rnacentral:tRNA from 1 species
AUUUAUAUAAUAUAUCUAUAGUAUAUUUAACUUCCAAUUAAAAAGAUUAAUUUAAUUAAUAUAAAUA